rnacentral:rRNA from 1 species
CCUACGGGUGGCAGCAGUGAGGAAUAUUGGUCAAUGGACGAGAGUCUGAACCAGCCAAGUAGCGUGAAGGAUGACUGCCCUAUGGGUUGUAAACUUCUUUUAUAUGGGAAUAAAAUGUUCCACGUGUGGGAUUUUGUAUGUACCAUAUGAAUAAGGAUAGGCUAACCCCGUGCCAGCAGCCGCGGUAAUACGGAGGAUCCGAGCGUUAUCCGGAUUUAUUGGGUUUAAAGGGAGAGUAGGUGGAUUGUUAAGUUCGUUGGGAAAGUUUGCGGCUCAACCGUAAAAUUGCAGUUGAAACUGGCAGUCUUGGGUACAGUAGAGGUGGGCGGAAUUCGUGGUGUAGCGGUGAAAUGCUUAGAUAUCACGAAGAACUCCGAUUGCGAAGGCAGUUCACUGGACUGCAACUGACACUGAAGCUCGAAAGUGUGGGUAUCAAACAGGAUUAGAUACCCCAGUAGUC